rnacentral:rRNA from 1 species
AACGAACGCUGGCGGCAUGCCUAACACAUGCAAGUCGAACGAAGGCUUCGGCCUUAGUGGCGCACGGGUGCGUAACGCGUGGGAAUCUGCCCUUGGGUUCGGAAUAACUCAGAGAAAUUUGAGCUAAUACCGGAUGAUGACGUAAGUCCAAAGAUUUAUCGCCCAAGGAUGAGCCCGCGUAAGAUUAGCUAGUUGGUGGGGUAAAGGCCUACCAAGGCGACGAUCUUUAGCUGGUCUGAGAGGAUGAUCAGCCACACUGGGACUGAGACACGGCCCAGACUCCUACGGGAGGCAGCAGUGGGGAAUAUUGGACAAUGGGCGAAAGCCUGAUCCAGCAAUGCCGCGUGAGUGAUGAAGGCCUUAGGGUUGUAAAGCUCUUUUACCAGGGAUGAUAAUGACAGUACCUGGAGAAUAAGCUCCAGCUAACUCCGUG